rnacentral:rRNA from 1 species
UACGUAGGGUGCGAGCGUUAAUCGGAAUUACUGGGCGUAAAGCGUUCGCAGGCGGUUCUGAAAGUCAGCUGUGAAAGCCCCGGGCUUAACCUGGGAAUGGCGGUUGAAACUACAGGACUAGAAUCUGGCAGAGGGGGGUGGAAUUCCACGUGUAGCAGUGAAAUGCGUAGAGAUGUGGAGGAACACCGAUGGCGAAGGCAGCCCCCUGGGCUGAGAUUGACGCUCAGGCACGAAAGCGUGGGGAGCAACAGG